GCCUCGGUAGCUCAGUUGGAUAGAGCGACUGCCUCCUAAGCAGUAGGCCGCUGGUUCAAGCCCAGUCCGGGGUGCCA
rnacentral:tRNA from 3 species